GUGAUACCGGACCGACUUUUGUUAUACUUGAUAGGAAAUCAAGUUCAGGAAACCUAGAUUAUCAAGUUGCUGGCAUUGACUGGAAUUUUAAUAGCUGCGGUGGACCAGAAGAAGGCUGUUAUAGUGAUUGGAGUCUGGACCUUCAUGUUGCCAAGAAGAUUGUGGAAGUGGAGAGGCUUCCUAGAUUUCCACAUCAGAUGGUCCUUGAGGGCGGAAGCAUUCAUGUAGACGGAGAAGGUACUUGCAUAACAACUGAAGAAUGCUUGCUAAAUCCUAAUCGCAACCCUGGUAUGACAAGGGAGGGAAUAGAGACUGAAUUGAAGAUGUAUCUUGGUGUCAAAAAAGUCAUUUGGUUGCCUAGGGGGCUCUAUGGCGAUGAUGAUACCAAUGGUCAUAUUGACAAUAUGUGCUGUUUUGUGAAACCUGGUGUGGUGCUUUUGGCAUGGACCGAUGAUGAGUCAGAUCCUCAAUAUGAGCGGUCAGCAGAGGCUUUGUCCGUUUUAUCUAAUGUUACCGAUGCAGAGGGUAGACAAAUAACUGUAAUCAAACUCCACGUGCCUGGGCCACUUUAUAUGACCGAGGAAGAAGCAAGAGGGAUACAAAAUCUAGAUGAAGCGAAACCAAGACUUGCAGGAACAAGGCUAGCUGCUUCUUAUAUAAAUUUCUAUAUUGUUAAUGGAGGAGUUAUUGUUCCAGCAUUUGGGGAUCACAAGUGGGACAAAGAGGCUUUUAGUGUUCUCUCGUCUGUGUUCCCUGGACAUAAGGUGGUGGCAGUCCAAGGUGCGAGGGAAAUUUGCCUAGGAGGCGGGAAUAUACAUUGCAUAACUCAGCAACAGCCAGCUGCUCCAAACUUGAUGUGAAGAAACGAAAUGAAGCCUCAAAGCAAGGAAGAAAUGCAGUUGAGUUGAUCUACAACAGUCGUCUUCUACGAUAAAUAAUUAUGGGGACAAUUCUCCGGAGCAUUUAAGUUUCGUACUCGUUGACGUUGUGAGUUCAGGCAGUCAACGAGGAGCUGUAUUAGACUAGUUGUGUUUGAGUCAAGUUGAUUUGUAUUUGCUUUUGUACUGGGUGUGAGA
rnacentral:misc_RNA from 1 species